GUAUCAACAAGGGAUUACAACAGACUAUGAUCAAGCACACUUCUAAACCUCAAUAUCAUCAUUACAUAACAUAGCUAAUCAUAACAUUACAUCAUUACAUAAUUUGUCAUGUCCACUUUCUAUCUAUUACGAAACCAGGACUUCAUUACUCUUGCUGACCUCCUGGACUACCCUGUACCUGCAAGCCUGGGGGUUAAGGGAGAGGGGUGAGCUAC
rnacentral:lncRNA from 1 species